AUAAAUUCGAUAAUAAAAGCUAGUAAACUAAUUAAUUUCAAAGCAAGUCUAGGUUGAUGGAAGCUAGAUAAAAGCGUUAGUUGAAUCGUACUUUUUAGAAAUAACUGAAUACUUUGAGUGGAUAUUAAUCAAUUAGAGUGGUACCGCGGGAAUUCUCGUCUCUUAC
rnacentral:misc_RNA from 1 species